UGGGGAAUAUUGCACAAUGGGCGCAAGCCUGAUGCAGCCAUGCCGCGUGUGUGAAGAAGGCCUUCGGGUUGUAAAGCACUUUCAGCGAGGAGGAAGGGUUCAGUGUUAAUAGCACUGUUCAUUGACGUUACUCGCAGAAGAAGCACCGGCUAACUCCGUGCCAGCAGCCGCGGUAAUACGGAGGGUGCAAGCGUUAAUCGGAAUUACUGGGCGUAAAGCGCACGCAGGCGGUUUGUUAAGUCAGAUGUGAAAUCCCCGCGCUUAACGUGGGAACUGCAUUUGAAACUGGCAAGCUAGAGUCUUGUAGAGGGGGGUAGAAUUCCAGGUGUAGCGGUGAAAUGCGUAGAGAUCUGGAGGAAUACCGGUGGCGAAGGCGGCCCCCUGGACAAAA
rnacentral:rRNA from 1 species